GUGCUCGCUUCGGCAGCACAUAUACUAAAACUGGAAUGAUACAGAGAAGAUUAGCGUGGCCCCGGCGCAAGGAUGACAUGCAAAUUCGUGGAGUGUUCUGUAUUUUU
rnacentral:snRNA from 1 species